GAUUAUCCUGGAAUUGGAAUGACUGUUCUUGGAGCUCUGAGGUGCAUUAUUGGUGGCUUCCAUGUUGUAGUUAUUGUAUUCAUGUGUUAUAAUGAAAUGAAACAAAGGGUAGAGCACUGAUUGCCAUGCAGCUGACACAAGAAAAAGCGAUUUAUGUAUGCAGAGUUGAUGUCAUGCAUUUAAGACUAAGGGCUUUGGAAAAGUGUAACCUAAAGCAUAUGAAUGGGAAGGAGAGCAAAACAAAGACAAGAAAUACUCAAAUAUUAGAUAUAUUAACUAUAUAAAAGCAAAAUGUUAGCAAUUGUGUGGUAUCCAAGGUAGCACCUGGAAAAAUACAUUGACAACUAUACAAAAAAUGCUAGCUGCAUGGGUAUAAACAUAUAAAAACAUGUUACAGAACAUUUAUGAAUGCUUCAGAGUUUUAUGAGGUUGUAACCAUUUUGCAAGAGUCUGCAAAAUGUGAAAUAAAGUGUUUCCACAAGA